rnacentral:piRNA from 1 species
UGAUGCCUCUUCCAAAAAAACAAACCAC